rnacentral:tmRNA from 1 species
GGGGGCGUACCGGUUUCGACGGGAGUCCUUGCGUCUAGGAGGCAUGCCGGGGGUCCACACCACCCGUAAUCGGCGUGGGACAAAGACAACUGCCAACACGCAGUAUGCCUACGCUGCCUAAUUAAGGUGGCGCGUCUCCUCCGUUCGGCCCGCAGGACGGAGAGAGGCGUCGAUUGGCGGGCUGGUUUGGGGCUUGCCGCCUGGAAGUCCCGAGCGAGAACCCGGGCGACCGGGAACAGGCUAGUCGGCGGUUCGUGAUUGCUCGUUGCUGAGGGCCGCUGGCGAAAACCUAAGCGAACGAGAUAAGCAUGUAGGCUCCUGAACGUGAGACUUUUCGGACGGGGGUUCGACUCCCCCCGCCUCCAUUU